rnacentral:lncRNA from 1 species
AAGGACAUAGAUUCUUAUUUCUUUUUUAAUCAGCAUAAUGACUUUUGCAUACAAUCUUAUAAUAGGAUCCAUAGAAACGUUAAUAUUAAGGUGCAAUUUCAAUGCAUUAAUCUCAAGUUCAAACCUUUCCAUGUUAGAAUUUUCAUCCAUGAGGAUAAGUUGGAAUCACAUUCUUGUCCACAAGUACAGACAAAGGCACCUCUAUAUAUAUGUUUGAAUACUCUUGUGAUUAUAGUAUAAGAGUCAAGAGUUUUUUCUUGAUUUUCCAUAAACCAACCUAGGCAUCUUUUACAAUUGAUAACAUGUUUUCUGUGUUUCCCAUUCACUUCCAUAUUCACAAGAGUGUAACCAUACCUAUCUCUAGGGAAAAGGUACAACAGAUUUUCAAAAAGCAUGAUGCUAAUGGUGAUGGUAGUCUAAGCUUGGAGGAGCUUGCAACAGCCUAUGGAGAACUAGGUUCAAUUAUCCCCAAUCUGAGAGCUCAUCUUUCACUCUUCCAUGCAGAUACUAAUGGGGACGGAAAAAUCAACUCCGAGGAGAUGGAAUCUCUCAUCAAUUAUGCUAUGUCUCUAGGAUAUCGCAUUAAGUAAAAUAGAAUCUACUUAUGUGCUUAUAAUAAAGGGCAUGUCAUUAUGUCAUGUCCCUAUUUUAUAUAUAAAUAAUGCAUGUAGUUUUCUUAUUUGGUGACCAAGGAAACAAAAAGGACAAGUUCUUUUGUUGUGUUUCCUUUUUAUAUGUGUAACUUAAAACUUUAUAAUUAUCUAUCUUUUAUGUAACUUAGUUUUUUUUUUCUUUCUUUUUUUUUACUCUUUUCCACCAAUUAUAAGGUAGUAUGAAUUUCAAAAUGACCAUAAAUGUGAGACUUGUAUGCAAGUGUAGUGUCACCUAUACACGAGAUAGUGCUUCUCCUAGUGAUAGGUUAGGAGAGAAAUGAAAUGCUUAGUGCUACUUAGUAAAUUAUGUAGAUUAAUUUGCAAAGACAAGAGUCAUGUCUAAAUUAAAGUAGAUUGAAAGUCUUCAAAGUAAGAGAAUGUUUUAGAAAGAAAUUAAAUAGAAAGUAUAAAUUGAUAAAAAAAAAAUUCAACAAUUAUUUCUAAAAUCCUCAUGGAGUUUGAUGUAUAGAACAAAACAAAAAAAAAAAUUAUAUACCACAUGCAGCUCAAUGAUUUUCAACAUUUACAAAUAUCUCAAAAACUUAAAAAAAAAAAAAAUAGUUGUUUGGAUUAUUAUGGAAAAUAUAUGUUUAAUUCUCAAAAAAUUGUUUUAUUAAUAUAUUUUUUUACUAAAUAAUGAUUAGAAAUCAUUAAACGUGGUCAUAUUUAUUAAAUAUAAAAAAUUAUUGGCACCAUAUGUUGGCGACCCAUCUAAUAUGAAUUUUAAUAAUAAUAAUACACUAUCUUCUUCUUUUACAUUUAGGAAAAAUUUAAGAAGCCUCUCAUAAUUAAUCAUUGAUGACAUCUCCAAAAGUGGGGGACUUGUCUUACAUCAUGCAUGUGGAAAAAUAAUGCUCUUAGCCAUGUUAAAUGAAAAAAGAUGAGGCAAAUGCUUCCACUUCCAUCGUCCUACUUUGGGCUUUAAUUCGAGUUCAAUUCAAUUCUUUUCUGGAUUGAUUGAUUUUUUUGUGAAAAAUAUUAAUAAUUGCAAGGAUGUUUUAAUUGUUGAGAUUUUUAUUAAGUUUUGUUGAGUAAAAAUAUUCAGCAUAAAAUUAAAAUUUAUAGAUAUUUCUUUUAUACUUUAGUUUUUAUGGUGUUAGGUAUAACUUUUAAUAAUGGACCAUAUCCUAUUUCUAAACCAACUUGUAGUGUCAUGGUCAGUUCUAAUUCGUACCAAGCUUUUUGGCAUAUUCAUUGGAUAUCUUUUGUUCACAACAUAAACAAAUUCAGAAACACGUUUGUCUACUAUGAUAAGAAAACUAGUGGUUGAUUUGAUCAAUUGGCUAAAAAGGAGCCCCAGUAAGAUCUACAAGUGAUAUGCGGCUUGGAAUUAUGGAAUUCUCUUUUUUAAAAAGUGAUGGAGCAUAUUAAAUGCUAUUAUAAAUGACCUACUAAACAGUUAAAUAUAAAAUAUUAUUUGGCAUCAUAUGUUGGUGACCCAUGUAAUAUGAAUUUUAAUGAAUUCAUCCAAGGAAAUAAUACUAUUAUAUCUUUAUCUUGCUAGAAAUUUUCAACAAUUAUUUGUGAAAUCCUUAUAGUGUUUGAUGUGUAGAACACAAAAUUCAUACUCCACAUACAACUCAAUAUUAGUAAAAAUAUAUAUAUUUUUUUAAUUAUUAUGGGAAAUAUAUGUUUAAUUUUCAAAAUAUAAUUUUUUUUUUAGAUUUUUUUUUUAAUAAUCUUUUAACUAACUUGUAGAUUUGAAAUUAUCCCAUUCUACUAAAUAUUCCUAUAUUUUAGAAUAAGAAAAUAUAGAGAAGUUUAUUUCCGUAUGAAAAUAACUCUUUAAUGCUUUUAAAUAUGUUUUAAAAAUAACUUCUAUAUUUAAUAGUUUAUUUUUAAUCAUUCUCUAUAUUUGUAUAAUUAUUUUUUUAAAAUAGCUUUUAUAAAACAAGUGAAAAUAAUUAAAAAUAAAAAAAUGUUGUUUGAAAAGAUGAUGUUUUUUGUUUUUAAAAAUAGAAAACAAAAAACAGUUUUUUGGUUAUCAAAUAUAUUUUCUUAUUUCUUUUUGUUAUGAAGAGCAUAAAAUUGUUUUUAACAAUAAUUAGCAAACAUUGUUAGUUUACUCAUCAUGAAAAGCUAAUACUAUAUGCUUGAUUUGACCAAUCACCUAAUAAUGUGUUUGAUAGUGUUUAUAUUCAAAGUAUUUUUAGUGAUUUUUUUUUUUUCUAAAUGCAUGUUUUUUAGAAUAAUUACUUGUCAAGUGUUAUGAAAUACUAGAAGUAAUUUUUGAAAAUUUUAAAAUCUUGCAUGUCUUAAUUUUUCUUAAAAAUAUUUUUUAUGCUAUAAAUAUUUUCUAAAAAUACUAUCAAACAGUAUUUCAAUUCGAAGUGCUUUUGAGAAAAGUGAUUUCCCUAAAAGUAUUAUUGAGUGAAUCACUUCUCUCCAAAAUUCACCAUAAAUAUUUUUUAAUAUUUUAAAAAUAUUUUUUAAAAUUUACGAAAUAUUCAAAAAAAAAUUUCAAGAACAUUUUUUAUACCAUAAAUAAUUUCUAAAAACACCAUCAAAGAUAAUUUUAAAGGCUAAAAAGCAGGUCUUUACUCUCAUGGAUGACCUUCGCAUCAUCAAAUUUGAAAUUUAUAAAGGCGAUGGUGUACACCAUGAAAGAGUGAAUUAAACGUGGCUUGGCAACCUUCUACUUGAGUAAACUCGUACUGGCAUGGCAAUGAUUUUACCAUUUUUAGUGUCAUUUUGAAAUUGAAAUGAUGCGUCUUACUAGGAAUGCUUGGUCAUGUAGAUUAGUUUACAAAGAAAAAAGUCAAUUCUAAAAAAAGAUUGAGACUUGUAGGCAAAGGGAAGUUUUCAGAGGAUUUAAAGGAAAUAAAAAAUAUAUUUCUGAAAUUUAAAACUCCAGUUUUUGGAAUUUUGUGUAAAACAAACCAAAAUUUAACCAACAUUUAGCAAGCUUUAUUGCAUUUUAUUUUUUCUUUUACCUUCCUUUGCUAUGUCAUUUUACCUCUACAAUUUGUUAGGAUUUGAGUCAAAUGAUUUAUUUAUUUAUUUUUAAAAAGUCAAUAUUGAUAAAUUUGCGUUUUGGUAAAUUAUCUUUUUAAGUUUUAUUAGAAAAAUAUUGAUUUAAGGUUAAUCAGUAAGAUUCUAUAAACAUGGUUUUAUUUAAAAGAAAAUAUAUGAUUUUAUAUAAAAUAAAACAUCUGACAAAAAAAGUUAAUAAAUUAUAAAUUCUCAAAGCUUAUUAAUAAAUUUGAUCAAUAUUUUUUUUUUUGUUAAUUAGUUUUAGUCAUCCUUUCCUACAAUGUGGGCAAUUAUAUCGAAUCAUACAAAUAAUAUUUUGUCUUCCCUAUUUUCUUAUAUUUUGUUUUUUUAUGUUUGGAUCAAGUGUUGUUGUGAUUUAUUUUUCUUAUAUUUGGGUGUAGUGAUUUUUCCAACACGAAUCAAAGACAACUCCCCCAUUUCCCACGUUCUAUAUAUUCUGUGGCAUCUUUAAAAGUAAAGGACUUAUCCGCUCCACCAUGAAAGUGGAAAAUAUGCUCUUAGCCAUGUUAGAAGAAAAAAGAAAAAGGGUAAAUGGGUUCCACCCACCUUUUCUUCCGAUUCUUAUGACUCUUAUCCAAAUGCAUAAGAAUCAAUGACUCUUAUCCAAUCCAUCCAUGGAUGGAGGCCCUGGAAGUUCUAAUUGUUAUGAUGGAUGAAUGUAUUGUUUUUUUUUAAAAAAACUAAUUUUUAGGUUAGAAGAGGCAACAUAUCAUUUACAAAAAUUUCUUUUAUGCUUUAGUCGUUGGGUUUAUAAAGGCUGCCUUCUAAUGAGUGAUUGACCUCAGCUUGUACCAAUCCUCUUGUCACCUUGACUCACUACGACGAGAAAAUCAGAGGUCCAUGCAUAUUUGAUUUAAAAAAUAUUCUUAUUUUUAUUCACUUGCACUUCCUUAAUGGAUUGACCCACCUUUAGACAAAGCAUCUAUUUUCCAAUUUGAACGGAGCUUUUGACUGAGAAAAGAAGUUGAGUGGCCACACCGUCGAGUAUGACUUUAUGCAUUGUGUUGGAAUCAAAUUUGUGGCUUGAGAUAAUUGAUCCAGUCCUCACCUUUACUUAUACUUUGUGUCCACAUUUUCUAGCUUGGUCUAAAUUUAUUUCCUUCCAUGCAUUUUAGUCUCAAUCUAAUGAGGUUUUUCAAAAAUGACUAAUCAAGGUUAUCAUAAAUAGUAUUUGGAAAGAUUGUUAACAUAUUUGAAUGGAGCCAUUAGCCUAGGGGCAAGAUUCCAAAUAAGUUGUGUUGCCCUCAUUUAAAGACACGUUAAAUCUGACAAUUGUUCUUUUUCCUUUUGUUUUACCUUUUCAUUUACAUAUGUGCCUGUUAGGCUUUGUAGAGUCUAGGUUUGUUUGAUUCGGUUUGGCGACCCGAUCCGAAUAAUAUUGCAUGACUUUUUAAUGGGAGAUUUACUAAGGCUUGUUGGACCCGUUUAACCCAUUGUGGAAUCACCUUUUUUAAUUAGGGUUUUUUAAUGUGGUGUGGUUGUCGUGUUAUAUAUAAAGAGAAAAUAUUGUAGCUGAUGUAGUUGUAUUCUGUAUUCUUCCUUGAUAAUAGUGAUAUCCCUGCAACUCCAUGAAUGUAGGCAAAUUGCCGAACCACGUAAAUACUGUCUUGUGCGUGUAAUUAUUUUUCUUUGACUUGUGUUUUCUCUAUUUUUUGUUUUUCACAGGUUGGGAAUUCGGUUUAAUUCCCUACCGUACUUAUUAAUCCUCAUGCAAUCUCAACUCAUACAUCAAUGGCUAAGUGUUUGAAUUUAACCUAAACAACCUCAAUAGGAAUGAGUAAACAUGCUAACAUCCAAAUAUUUUGUUUCAUUUUUCCCUAAAACUUCCUCUUUUACUUUAGCUAUUGAAAUUUACAAAUCAAAGCCAUAUUGUGAUUCUAGGUAAAAGUUUAAGACCAUGUUUGGUAACUGUUUUUUAAAAUAAUAUUUUGUUUUGCAAAACACAAAAACAAGAAAAUACAUUUGACUAUUAGAAAAGAGCACACUUUUUUGCUCUUCAAAAUAAAAAACAAAAAUGCUUUUUAGAUAAUAUUUUUUUAAUUAUUUUUACUUAUUUUUUAGGAGUUAUUUUAAAAAAUAAUUAUGCAAAUACGAAGAAUGAUUAAAAAUAAGGCACUACUAAAAAAAAUUAUUUUUAAAAUAUAUUAAAAAAACAUAAAAUAAAAAAGUAUGUUAAAAAUAUUUCAAAUUCUAAAAUAAUGUUUUGUUCAACAAAACAUUAACUAACAAUUUUAGUUUUUUUUUUUUGAAUACACUUCUCAAGUAGAGUUUAAGAUUCUAAUAGCCUACAUCAAGGCUAUAAUCGCCUAUACACUUGUUGUGGUUUUUUUUUUGAAAAAAAGGAUUUUAUUUUUUACUGUUCUAAAUUUAAUUUAAAAUAAGAAAUUAAAUUUUGAAUAAUAAUAAACAAAUCAUUAAAAUGUUAUAUUUAUUACCCUUUUGAAAUUUGUUUUUAGAAAAUCAGAUUCAAGAGAUUCAAUUUUUGUGUUGAUUAAUUUUUCUUUUUAAAAAAAGUAAUGUAUUUGGCGUUAUUUUGCUAUUAAGAAAAGUUUCACAAGUCAAAUAUAGAAUCCAUAUUUGUUAAAAAAAUAAUUUAAAAUAUUCAACCUUACUGCAUGAUUGAAUAUCUGGUCAACAAUAUUUAAGAUGUAUUAUAUACAUGACUUUCAUUUGUAUUUUUACUAUUAGAUUAUGAUCAUUAGAUAUCAGGAAAAAAUGAUGGAGAAAAAAAAAACACCUUGACCUACGAAUAAAGAGGAAGACCAUCUUCUAACUUCAAGGAAUUAAUCUUAGAUGGCAUCUUCAAAAGUGGGGGCCGGGCUUGUCUUCCGCCAUGCAAGUCGUAAAAUAAUAUUCUUAGCCAUGUUAAAUGAAAAAGAUGAGGUAAAUGGGUUCCACUUCCUACUUUUGUGCUGAUUCUUAUACACCAUGACAAGGAAACUAGAGGUUGGUUAGAACCAUUGGCUGAAACGGAACCUUAAUUAAGAUGUUGUACUUCUCAUAUUUCGGCUUGGAAUUCUAGAAUUUUCUUCUUUUUCUUUUUCUUCUUCUUCUUCUUCUUAUUAUUAUUAUUAUCAUUUUAUAAAAGUGAUGGAGUAUAUUAAAUGCUAUCAUAAAUUGUAUUAACCAUGUUGACACUAAUUAUUGAAUAAAAGACCUACUAAACAAUUUUAUGUUACUUACAACAUCUUCUUUUACCAUUUGUGAACCAUUGGCUGAAACGGAACCUUAAUUAAGAUGUUGUACUUCUCAUAUUUCGGCUUGGAAUUCUAGAAUUUUCUUCUUUUUCUUCUUCUUCUUCUUCUUCUUCUUAUUAUUAUUAUUAUUAUCAUUUUAUAAAAGUGAUGGAGUAUAUUAAAUGCUAUCAUAAAUUGUAUUAACCAUGUUGACACUAAUUAUUGAAUAAAAGACCUACUAAACAAUUUUAUGUUACUUACAACAUCUUCUUUUACCAUUUGUGAAGAUGAAGGUGCAAAUAGAAAAAAAGAAUAAAAAAAAAAAAGUAAUUUUUUUUCCUCUUUCAAUGGUCUCUUGGACCCUAAUAAAAUGGUUAUAAAGGUGGAAUAAAAGACAUUUUUCAUUCAAGAAUUAGAAAUGCAUCACAGAAUGAUUAGAAGAAGAUUUUGUUUCUUAUAUAUUUUUGUGCAAUUUAAUUUGUAUUAUACUACAAUAGUUCAAGGGGAAACUGACAAAAAAGGAUAUAGAUUCUUAUUUCUUUUUUAACAAGGAUAAUGAUUUUUGCAUGCAAUCUUAUAAUACGAUUGAUCCAUAUAAAUAUUAAUAGUAAGGUGCAAUUUCAAUGCAUUAAUCUCAAGUUCAAGCGUUUCCAUGUUGGAAUUUUCAUCCACGAGGAUAAGUUGGAAUCACAUUCUGGUCCACAAAAAAAAAAAAGGUAAAAACACCUCUAUAUAUAUAUAUAUAUAUAUUUGAAUACUCUUGUGAUUAUAGUGUAAGAGUUGGAGUUGUUUCUUGAUUUUCCAUAAACCAACCUACGCAUCUUUUACAACUGAUAAUAUGUCUUCUAUGUUUUCUAUUCACUUCCAUGUUAACAAGAAGAAUGUAGUCAUACCUUACCGUAGGGAAAAGAUACAACAGAUUUUCAAACAACAUGAUGCUAAUGGCGAUGGUAGUCUAAGCUUAGAGGAGCUUGCGACAGCCUAUGGAGAGCUAGACUUAAUUAUCCCCUUGAGAGCUCAUCUUUCACUCUUCCAUGCAGAUGCUAAUGGGGACGAAAAAAUCAACUCUUAGGAGAUGGAAUCUCUUAUCAAUUAUGCUAUGUAUCUGGGAUAUCGCAUUAUGUAAAAUACAAUCUACUCAUGUUCUUGUAAUAAAUGGCAUGUCAUAAUGACAUGUCCCCAUUUAAUAUAUAAAUAAUGCAUGUAGUUUUCCUAUUUGGUAACUAGGAAGACAAAAAGGAUAAGUUCCUUUGUUGUGUUUCCUUAUACGUAACUUAAAACUUUAUAAUUAUCUAUCUUUUAUGUAACUUAGUUUUUUUUUUUUU